AAGCCCCGCUGUCUCCAGCGCCCCAGGGAGAGGCCCCGCUGUCUCCAGCGUCCAGGGAGAAGCCCCGCUGUCUCCGGCACCCCAGGGAGAAACCCCGCUGUCUCCUGUGCCCCAGGCUGGAAAUUCAACUAAAAAAAUCACUGAAACUGAUAUCAGUACAGAAGAGGACAGAGAAGAGCCUGUACAGUAACAAGAACAAAGGACAGAACUGAUUACAGUAUUAUAUUGCAUAAAAUUACAUCAAAAGUAAAUAGCCUGAGCGAAUACUGCAUGCUGUUCUAAAAGUGCCUGUACAUUUGCAUUCUCUAAAGUGACAAGACACACUGCACAACACUAUAUUAUUAUUAUUAGUAGUAGUAGUAGAAGUACUAGUAGUAGUAUUAAUUAAUCAUUUAUCAGAUGUUUUUAUCCAAAGCCACUAUACCUGUGAUUAAAUAAGAGAUAAAUAAAAACUUGAAGAAACCUUAACCAAGAACAGGCUGUGCUUUGUAGUGAAACACAGUGGAAUGGAAAAUGAAUUAAUCUAAAAAGGUCAGAGUUAAUAACACAGAUAUUUUCAACAAGGGCUGGUGAUUCAGUAACUCUGAAACCUAUUUAAAUGUAAUUCGAGAAUGAGAAUAUACAGUGUACGAUCUUGUUGAAGUUUUCUGCCACACUACUGGGACUGCAGCAAUGCAUAAAGAACUUCCCUGUCUGACAAAACAGAUGUAGAAUAGAAAUGUAGCUUCCACAGUCAUCUCACAGACUGCUCAACAGGUAGGCUGCCUUUUUACAUCUUUGAACUAGAACUUCAGUUUUAUUAUUAGCACCCAUCAUCUUUGUCAGCCAGUUCAGCUUUGAGAAUUAUGCUUAUUAUACAGAAGGUUGGUUCAUUGGGUGUUGUUUUAGAAUCGUGUUUUAAGUGGGACCUAAGUACUAGCAGUGUUCUAACUUCAACCACAGUAAUCAAAUCAAUCUUCAAGCAAGAUUCCUAACCCAUGGCGAUGGACGCUUAUAGGUAGUUUUUAUCUGCUGUGCAGUUAUUAUACACUUCAGUUUAUCAGACAAAAAGCUGUUCAAAGUUGUCUUUAUGGUUAUAAUGUCAAGCCUUGCAAAUGGGGAUGUUUAUUUACAAAGCCAGCACUCUCUCUAGUGGCUCCACACCAACAACUACAAAAUUUUGCUACACACUUUAAAAUCUAGAUUUAUGCAGGGCUCAUAUGUCUCCCUGCCAAUACAAUAUUAUUAUAUAAUAAAUGGAAAUGAUAUAUAUGACUACUAGGAUAAGAUAUAUUUGGGACAUACAGUAUAGUAUGCUUAAUAACCCACAUUGUUAAAAUUAAUUAUUAAAACAGUUGUGGCUAAGAUAAGUGUUGAAAAUGGUUGUUGUUAAUAUUGUUCAAAUAUAUUAAUUUUGAAAAUUAAAAUGCUAAUUACAAGGAUAUGUUUACCAAAGCAAAGAUGAAUAUCCCCUACCCAGUGGUGGUGAUAUGAUGGAAGCAGGUGUACAGAAGUUUUUGUUUUGUUUGAUAUAAUUCAUAUUGUAUUGCUUUUUUAUAUACAGUCUAAUAACAACAAAUGUUUCAGUUCAUCUGCCUACAUGUAAUCAAUGCAUAUUAAAGUAUAUUACAAUGUUU